UGCGGAUACGACCUUUAUUUAUCCAGUAAGGCGGGCUCUUGAAGCGCAGGCCUUCCUCCCUUCCUCUCCGUGCACGCUGCGUUUUUUGCCUUGGCCAAUCACAGGCCACGUCGUGUCUCCGCAGCCAAUCGGAAAGUCCAGAGACGGUAAGACGAGCACUUGGCCGUUCCUCCCGCGUUGUUCGAGGUUGGUGGGUCAGUUUUGUACUGAUGAGCUCGUCUUUCUGUUGUUUUCACUUGCUCUGGCUUAAUCCGGUACCAUCAGCCCGUUUUGAGGCCGAAGCUAAGAAUGCAAAGCAGGGUCAGGACAUAAAUGGAGGCGAAUCCUGCGAGAUGCUGGUUUCCGGCCCUCUGAUGCGAAGAUAAUGGAGGAGCUUUUGGUAAGGUGACCUCAGAGGAAUUUGAGAAUCUAAUGUGAGAAAAUGUCGACUCGUAAUUCAACGAAACCUUUUCUGCAAAACACCUUGCCGCAGUGGAAUUCGAAGGGGCUAAGGAAUUUUAUUCUUGGAGAUGUUGGAAAAAGAUACCUGGGUCUGGAAGAUAAUUACUUGCAAUAUGCAGGAGAGGAAUAAAAUUGAAGAGUGUUUUUCUUAGAAAACAUCAUUUGUCAGAUUUAUCUGACCAAGAAUUCCAAGAAUUUGAAGAUUUAUAUAAUAAGAACUCUGCAGACUUUUCUUGUGCUCAAGAUUAUUAAAAUGGAAUGGUUGGUGGGGGCUAAAUUCUCAAAUAAUAGUCUUCACACUAUCUGCAAAUCCUAAUUUGAAGAAUUCUGGAUUCCUUUAUCUCCAAACAUUCUUCUACCUCCAGUAGUCAGAUACAUGGUUCCAAUAUGCAUGAACAUCAGUUACCAUAGUUAAGUUAAAUAACAACAGUCUGCUAAAAACAGAGUUAAAAUUUCAGUUACCCCACAGUGCUGUGAGUAGCAUCAAGUACAAACUUUGCUGCAAGCUCUUUUGUCCAUAAAUUAUGCAAAUAACAGAUGUGCAUCAUGAUCGAUGGCAAAUCACAUUAAUUCCUUCAAAGUCCGCUGGUGCUUGGUCACUGAGCAUCUGUUACUCAGUUCAUGUACAUACAACAGUGUGUAGUCACUUGGCCUUGUCUUACGGUGGUAAAUCCAUGUGACAUUUUACAAAAAUGGAUGAUAGAGGGAGUUGGUCAACAAAGAUGAUGGGACCACGAAGAAACGCAAAGUGAUAAUGCUGGAAGUGAAAUUGGAUGUGAUUAGAAGAUUUGAAAAUGGUGAUAACAAAGCCAAGAUAGGAAGAGACCUAGACCUGCAUGAAGCUACAGUAUGAACCAUGUUGAAAAAGUCCAAUGAAUAUAAAAUACAAGGUAAAGUAGCUUUAACAUAUUUUAGCAUAAAUUGCACUAGGAACAAGAAGCCUCUCAUGGUUGAAAUGGACAGUUUACUACAAUUUUGAAUUGAAGACUAGUAGAAAAUAAAUCCCCAUCAGUUUGACUAGCAUUCAGAUCAAAGCAUUGAAGUUAGACGCUAUGUUGAAAGAAAAUGGUUAAUUACAAGAAGACUGAAAAAUAACAUUUUACUGCCAGUAGAGGCUGGUUUCAUUGUUUUCAGAAGUCAGCCUGAAUUGAUUAAUGGUAAGCUAUCUGGUGAAGCUUUUGGCUCAGAUAAGGAUGCUGUGGUGAAAUGUGCCCCCCAAUUCCAAGAAUUACAGGCAGUCCUUGCUUUGCACAGUAGUACAGGACUGCAUUGUGCAAAAAAAUAUGCAGGAUUAGAAUGGAAUUGAAAUGGAGUUACAGAAGGUAUAGUUGACCGUGGGAAUGUUGACACUACUGCUGUUCAAAGACUAGAUAUGCAGCCAGAGGAACUUAGUGAUGGUGACUUACAGGCAUAAGUGAGGAAAGUGGUUGUGACGAAAAGGAUGAAGUUGUCUCAGAGGAAGUGAUCCUGGCAAGAAACUUCACAUUACAGGAACUCUUGGGGACAUUUCAUGACCUUAAAGUGCAAAGGAUAAAAUUUUGGAAGCUGAUCCAAACUUAGAAAGGAGUAUAACAAUUUGCCAUGUCAUCGAAAAGAUGGUAGGUCCGUAUCUUAAGGUACCUGAUAAGAAGAAGGCAAGCACUGUUCAAAUUACUCUUGAUAAAUUUUUUUACAAAGAAAUAAAAUUUUAAUUCUCUA